rnacentral:rRNA from 1 species
AUCGAACGCUGGCGGCAGGCUUAACACAUGCAAGUCGAGCGGGGUGAUGGUGCUUGCACUAUCACUUAGCGGCGGACGGGGGAGUAAUGCUUAGGAAUCGGCCUAUUAGUGGGGGACAACAUCUGGAAAGGGAUGCUAAUACUGCAGACGUCCUACGAGAGAAAGCAGGGGAGCACUUGUGACCUGGGGCUAAUAGAUGAGCCUAAGGCGGAUUAGAGAGUUGGUGGGGUAAAGGCCUACCAAGGCGGCGAUCUGUAGCGGGUCUGAGAGGAUGAUCCGCCACACUGGGACUGAGACACGGCCCCGACUUCUACGGGAGGCAGCAGUGGGGAAUAUUGGACAAUGGGGGGAACCCUGAUCCAGCCAUGCCGCGUGUGUGAAGAAGGCCUUAUGGUUGUAAAGCACUUUAAGCGAGGAGGAGGCUCUUUUGGUUAAUACCCAAGAUGAGUGGACGUUACUCGCAGAAUAAGCACCGGCUAACUCUGUGCCAGCCGCCGCCGUAA